AGUGAACGCUGGCGGUAGGCCUAACACAUGCAAGUCGAACGGCAGCACAGUAAGAGCUUGCUCUUACGGGUGGCGAGUGGCGGACGGGUGAGGAAUACAUCGGAAUCUACUUUUUCGUGGGGGGUAACGUAGGGAAACUUACGCUAAUACCGCAUACGACCUACGGGUGAAAGCAGGGGAUCUUCGGACCUUGCGCGAUUGAAUGAGCCGAUGUCGGAUUAGCUAGUUGGCGGGGUAAAGGCCCACCAAGGCGACGAUCCGUAGCUGGUCUGAGAGGAUGAUCAGCCACACUGGAACUGAGACACGGUCCAGACUCCUACGGGAGGCAGCAGUGGGGAAUAUUGGACAAUGGGCGCAAGCCUGAUCCAGCCAUACCGCGUGGGUGAAGAAGGCCUUCGGGUUGUAAAGCCCUUUUGUUGGGAAAGAAAAGCAGCAGGUUAAUACCCCGCUGUUCUGACGGUACCCAAAGAAUAAGCACCGGCUAACUUCGCG
rnacentral:rRNA from 1 species